AGAAGCAAGACCGUGAGGUGGAGCAAAACUCAAAAACUUAGUCUCAGUUCGGAUUGUAGGCUGAAACUCGCCUACAUGAAGCUGGAGUUGCUAGUAAUCGCGAAUCAGCAUGUCGCGGUGAAUACGUUCCCGGGCCUUGUACACACCGCCCGUCACACCAUGAGAGUUGGCAACACCCGAAACCUGUGGGCUAACCGAAAGGAGGCAGCAGUCUAAGGUGGGGUCAGUGAUUGGGGUGAAGUCGUAACAAGGUAAC
rnacentral:rRNA from 1 species